rnacentral:rRNA from 1 species
CCUACGGGUGGCAGCAGUAGGGAAUAUUGCUCAAUGGGGGAAACCCUGAAGCAGCAACGCCGCGUGGAGGAUGAAGGUUUUCGGAUUGUAAACUCCUUUUGUUAGAGAAGAUAAUGACGGUAUCUAACGAAUAAGCACCGGCUAACUCCGUGCCAGCAGCCGCGGUAAUACGGAGGGUGCAAGCGUUACUCGGAAUCACUGGGCGUAAAGAGGGCGUAGGCGGGAUAGCAAGUCAGAUGUGAAAUCCUAUGGCUUAACCAUAGAACUGCAUUUGAAACUGUUAUUCUAGAGUAUGGGAGAGGGAGGUGGAAUUCUUGGUGGAGGGGUAAAAUCCGUAGAGAUCAAGAAGAAUACUCAUUGCGAAGGCGACCUGCUAGAACAUAACUGACGCUGAUGCGCGAAAGCGUGGGGAGCAAACAGGAUUAGAUACCCUAGUAGUC